ACCAUGGUAACAAGGUAGGAUUUUCUUUUUCUUUUUUUACAACUGAGAGAAGAUUAGAAAGAGAGGGAGGAAAAUCAACCCAACUUAUCCAUUGAUCACAUCUCUGACAACAAUUUCUCUCUGCCCGGCUUUCUAAUCAUAUGGCUUUUGGGGAUCAGGGAGAAACGGGUUGAAGCCGCAAAAUAAAGAUAAAGAAACGGGAAGAGUCUCUGAGACAAAGAAAGAGGAUAAGAGUUGCAAAACAAAGAAGAGCUUUGAAUGUAACUUCUGUGAGGAAACAGAGGCAUUGCCAUGGGAAUGCAACAGAAAGGAUAUAGAAAGAAGGUAUCGGUGCAGGGGAAGUUGUCUCAGUUGUUCUCUAAAGUGUUUAAAGAAGCAUCAGCAUCCAGGAAAAUGAAAUCUUUCAUUCAAAAUAAGGUUAAUUGGAAGAUGUCCCCCAAAUAAAACUCCUGGUGCAACCUUGGUCUGGCUCUGAUGAGCAGAAUGCUUUGUUGUACCUUUCCGAGCAAACUCGAAUGCCAAUUUUAAAUAAACUUUUUUUUUCUUGUAAACAUA